rnacentral:misc_RNA from 1 species
GAUGAAGAACGUAGCGAAAUGCGAUAAGUAAUGUGAAUUGCAGAAUUCAGUGAAUCAUCGAAUCUUUGAACGCACAUCGCGCCCGCCAGUAUUCUGGCGGGCAUGCCUGUUCGAGCGUCAUUUCAACCAUCAAGCCCCAGGCUUGUGUUGGGGACCUGCGGCUGCCGCAGGCCCUGAAAACCAGUGGCGGGCUCGCUGUCACACCGGGCGUAGUAGAUUUUAUCUCGCUCAGGGCGUGCUGCGGGUUCCGGCCGUUAAAAAGCCUUUUUUACCCAAGGUUGACCUCGGAUCAGGUAGGAAGACCCGCUGAACUUAAGCAUAUCAAUAAGCGGAGGA